rnacentral:pre_miRNA from 1 species
AAUUCGGGCAAGAACUUGGUACUGUGAUUUGUGUGGAAUUAGCCGCAUUGUUGGUUCACAUCACAGUCUGAGUUCUUGCUCGAUGG